AUGUGUUUUAAGCAAGUUAAGUCUGACAAUAUAACUUGGGGUGGGUGGCAGGCUACACUAACGUACGCCCUGCUCUUACAAGUGCAUUCUACCGCGUUUACGUACUAUACGUGUGCUCUAAUAGACUAUAUGACACGAACGGAUCAAGAUAAGUAUUUAUCGCGUCACAUACCAUACAGGAAAGGUUUGGGGUCCCAUUUGUUCGAGAUCCAUCUCUGUAGGCUAUAUAAGUGGCUGUACGUAGACUGAACUGUGCCGUGCGCUCAAGCGCAGGAUGGACACAUUGAGUAUAUCACGCCCAUUACUGGGACGGUCCUCCUGCCCAGCCAAUGAAUCAGCUCCAUUUCACGAGUUUGGGGCUGGAUUGAGAUGCAGACUAGAGUUUGACAUUUAUCCGGCUAAACGUGUCAUGGAAGAUUUAAAUUACAUGUAUUCCACUCGCGAAUUGUGUGCACUGAUCAAAGAAAUGCACUGUAAAAAUGAUUGUUCGAAGUAAAACAAAAAAGAUUAUUAAAGUACUGUAGUGUGUGUGUGUGUGUGUGUGUGUGUGUGUGUGUAUCUAUCCAUCUAUCUAUCUAUCUAUCUAUCUAUCUAUCUAUCUAUCUAUCUAUCUAUCUAUCUAUCUAUCUAUCUAUCUAUCUCUCUAUAUAUAUAUUCGGUUGUCUCUCUAGCAAAGCAAGCAAUGAAACAUUUUAAUAUAAAUGAUUAACAUUAAACAUAAUGAAUGUGAGAUGUCAUAAUCACGUUUUUUAAUCAAGUUUUUAAAUGGUAAUAAUAAUAAUUCACAAUAAAGUGAUGUCAUUCAUAUACUCUACCAGCACCUAGGGAAAAUAAAUAAUAAUAACCCUACAGAAUAACCCCAAAUCUUCAGAGUAUAAACAAUGAAAUAAGAAAACACAGCUGAAUGUUAUUCCACAAAUGUUUUUAAUCGGUUUUGACUGAGAUUUAAAUUGCACAGCAUAUUUCUGUUACUUUGUUUUCACAGUUUGUAUCUGCCUCAUUGGACAUUUCUUCACGUGGCACCAUACUUGCAAGUAUAUACAUAGCUUAUAUGUCUUCCAACUGACACUGACCCAUACAUAAUUAUUAUUUUUCCUUCUUUUUCUACCUUCUAUUUGUCCUUCUUGAAAGUAUGCAGAGGUAUCUGGGGACAGAAGGGUAUCCAGGGACUAGAUUGUCAUUUGUUGGGUUUGAAUACAGAUGUGAUUUAGUUGUUUCAUGAAUACUCCUGACUUCCAUACUUGGACACACAGGCUUUUAACUUCUGUCCCACCUUAUUAAUUAUGAUCUGGUGGGCAGAAAUGACUUGGCAAGUACUGAGACGUACAUUAAGCGGGUGGACUGGAAACAGCAAUUGCUAAUAAACAAUGUUUACAACACAAGACAAAAUCAACAUUCAAUUAAUUAUCCUUUAAACCCCAUGUCAUAGAUAAAUACAUCAUAAAAUUCGAUAUUUUUGAAGGCCAGCAUUAUUUUCUAGCAACUCAUAGGGAACAAAUCUGCUGGCUUUUCUCAUGCAAGCUCUUUUGGCAAAGAACGCAAGCAAAGGAGGCUGUAUUUCCUCCUGAAUGCAGUUCCAGUACAACAAAUGUAGAGUCCUGAGCUCUAGGGUCAAGCAAAUGAAAAAAGCUUGAGUGGCUUUCUUUUUCGUAGAGAAGAAGGAUGUUGACCAUCACCAUGUAUAAAUCAAUAAGAAAAUGAAGUAUAUUAUGAGCCACAUUAUAACACGAUUUUUAAUUAAUGUGUAUAAUAUAUAUAUAUAUAUAUAUAUAUAUAUAUAUAUAGUGUGUGUGUGAUUUAAUUACUAGUUGUUAGUUAAGACAGCGUACUUAAAGUUUUUUUUUUUUUUAUGUCUGAAAAUGCAUGCAGUGUAAGAUAUAGAAUGCACACAAUAU
rnacentral:lncRNA from 1 species